rnacentral:sRNA from 1 species
UAAAAAUACAAAUCGGGAAGGAUAGAGAACCUUCGACCCGAAGGUUUGAGCCGAGCGAAGCGAGACAGCGUUGCGCAGCAACGACCCGCAGGGCGAGGCCACAGGCCGAGUCAUCCUUCCCCCACCACCA